rnacentral:rRNA from 1 species
GUACACGCUGUGACUAGUAUAUCAAUAAGCGGAGGAAAAGAAACUAACAAGGAUUCCCCUAGUAACGGCGAGUGAAGCGGGAAGAGCUCAAAUUUGAAAUCUUAAAGGGUUUCCCUUUACGAAUUGUAGUUUAAAGAAGUGUUUUCUGUUGAGGUUUUGGUAAAAGUUCUUUGGAAUAGGACAUCAUAGAGGGUGAGAAUCCCGUAUUUGACCUUUACUUUCAACUUUGUGAUACACUUUCAAAGAGUCGGAUUGUUUGGGAAUGCAGUCCAAAAUGGGUGGUAAAUUUCAUCUAAAGCUAAAUAUUGGCGAGAGACCGAUAGCGAACAAGUACCGUGAGGGAAAGAUGAAAAGAACUUUGAAAAGAGAGUUAAACAGUACGUGAAAUUGUCAAAAGGGAAGCGUUUGACACCAGUGUUGUUUUUCUGAAAAUCAAUUGAAGAACUGUUUAUGCUAAGCUGUUUAGACUUUAUCAGCUAACUGUUUAGUUUUGAGCUUUUCUUUAAUGCACUUUUCAGUUAACAAGUCAACAUCAAUUUCUUUUGCUGUAAAAAAGCUUGAGGAAGGUGGCUUGAGAUUCGUCUUAAGUGUUUAUAGCCUCUUGCCUAUGCAGUCGGAGAGAUUGAGGUCUGCAGCGUAGAUCCUUCGGGGCUAAAUGCAUUUGUGCUAAGUUAUAGCAUUUUAUAGACAACUUGUUGACUAUGAUUUGUCUUGUAGCUUACUCGCUUAUGUUAUUUUACCUACGCUUAGGAUGUUGACACACGCGCGUGCUCG